rnacentral:rRNA from 1 species
GUGCUACGGAGGUCUCUUCGAAGGGGGGGAUCUACGUCUGCCCACCCUUGAUUACUUGACCUGUUGCUUUGGUGGGCCCGCCGUGAGGCGGUCUGGAAAAACUCGAGUUUUCGGGCUCGUGUCCGCCAGAGUUCCAUUAAAUCCUGGAUAAAAGGUUGUGCUGUCUGAGCGUGCAAGCGCAAAUUUAUACAAAACUUUCAACAACGGAUCUCUUGGUUCUGGCAUCGAUGAAGAACGCAGCGAAAUGCGAUAAGUAAUGUGAAUUGCAGAAUUCCGUGAAUCAUCGAAUCUUUGAACGCAUAUUGCGCCCUCUGGUAUUCCGGAGGGCAUGCCUGUCCGAGCGUCAUUUUUACUUUCAAGCACAGCUUGUGUUGGGCUUCUGUUCCUUAUAGAACAGGCCUGAAAUGCAGCGGCAGUACUUUAAAUCUGGUGCCCGAGUGUAUGGAGCUUUGUCGCACGCUCUGGUGGCCUAGAUUUGUACUUGCCUUUAACAGGAUUUUUUUUAAAUUCACCGGUUUAGUUGGCCUCGGAUCAGGUAGGGAUACCCGCUGAACUUAAGCAUAUCAAUAAGCGGAGGAAAAGAAACCAACAGGGAUUGCCUCAGUAACGGCGAGUGAAGCGGCAAAAGCUCAAAUUUGAAAUCUGGCUUCCUGUGUGGAGCCCGAGUUGUAAUUUGCAGAGGAUGCUUUUGGGUGUGGUUGCGGUCUAAGUUCCCUGGAACGGGGCGUCAUAGAGGGUGAGAAUCCCGUCUGGGACCGCUGGCUCCGCCCGUGUAAAGCUCCUUCGACGAGUCGAGUUGUUUGGGAAUGCAGCUCUAAAUGGGUGGUAAAUUUCAUCUAAAGCUAAAUAUUGGCUGGAGACCGAUAGCGCACAAGUAGAGUGAUCGAAAGAUGAAAAGCACUUUGAAAAGAGAGUUAAACAGUAUGUGAAAUUGUUGAAAGGGAAGCGCUUGCGACCAGACUCGCUCGCAGAGGCUCAGCCGGCAUGCUUUGGCGGUGCAUUCUUCUGCGGUCGGGCCAGCGUCGGUUCCGACGGUUGGUUAAAGGCUUCCGGAAUGUGUCGUCCCUCGGGGCGGCCUUAUAGCCGGGGGUGCAAUACGGCCUGUUGGGACC